CUCUCAGCGUUGACUACGCAGUCAGGUUAAUGAAACUUUGGGCAUUUUGUAGUUUUACAUGCAUAUUACCUCAGAAUCCACACCAAAGAAAGGCACAGAUAAGCAACUUGUCUGAUAUCAUUUGCUGCAAUGUCUGAUAUUCAAGGUUCCUGUCGUAUACAAAAGCCUUCCGUGACCGUUCCAUUUACACUUCUCCUAGGACUUGUGAGAGUCGGAGCUGGUCUGCUGGCAAUGAACUUCUCGGCUGCUCCUGUUGGUCACUGUGGCUCUUUUGCUCCUGUGGAUAGAUCCCCAGCCUGCAGAUGCUGAAAACCAGACUGGAUUUGUCGCUCAGAGCACACCUCCCUCCUCCCACGCACGUGGUCUCCACCGCACAUGUGCGGGUACAGAUGGGAACCGUCUCUGCAAACAAACUGAAGAUGAUUCAAGAGUCAUUCUAAUGAGCAGUGAAUGUGGCCUGAUUACUGCAUUCGCAAAAAACCUUAUUUUUUUUCCCCCCCAACAUUGCAAAGCUUGGCCCAGGGCCUCCUCAUAGGCUUACAAAUUUGCUGAAGUCUUCUUAGAGUCUUUCCUGAAGUCUAAGUGUGAUGAGAGCAGAGGUACCUCCGUUUCAUCACUGCAUCCUGGGCACCUAGUGGACCUGGCAAGGUGCAGCCCUAUGAGGGCUGCACCUGCGGCAUUGGAGCUGCAGCUGCUAGCCUACGCCAGAGCCACAGCAGUGCCAGAUCCGAGCCGUGUCUGUGACCUACACCACACGGCAAUGCUGGAUCCUUAACCCAACAGAGCGAGGCCAGGGAUGGAACCUGCAACCUCAUGGUUCCUAGUCAGAUUCAUUUCCGCUGCGCCAGGAUGGGAGCUCCUGAUAGAAUAUUUAUAAAAGGAGCACUGCAUCCCCAAAGUACAAUGGAAUUAUUAUUGCUAUGAUGAUAAAGCUUUGCACAGAGAGCAAAAUGAUGUGUUUCAGAUUGUUGGGUCAAGACGUUUUGCUUAUUGUCCCAGCUUUGCAACCAGAUAGUUGUGUGGCUUUGAUAAUAGCAGCAGGAAUUAAGAUUUAUUUAGCUCUCAUUAUAUACCAGGUUCUGAGCUCAGGGCUUUCACGCCCUGGCCCAUCCAGUCAUUGGAAACCCUGCCACUCUCUGGGUUUGUGCCUUCAGCAGCCGGGGCAGGGAUUCUAGGAUGCUCAUGCUCUGGUCUUCGAGACUGUGGGGGAAGCUCAGCCCUUUUCGAAGUGCCUGGAAGACUGGCCUUCCAGAACCCGCCUUAGAAUUCGCUCUCCCUGCCUCCUCUGACGUCCUGUCAUUGGCAUCAGCGGUGUUCCCAAGGUGUCCAGUGGCGCAGCUCGAGACAAACCCGAGCAGUGAGCUGAUGGCCACGUGCUCUGCAGAGUGACUUCAUCGGCGGGCAAGGUCUGAAGAGGAGUCACUUUGGCGGCUCCGGUUCCCGUCGCUAUGACUCCUCACUAGAGACACUAAGAGGCACGUGGGCUGGGAGGGCACAGACCGCGCGGGCUGUUUCUGUCAACUGAGCCACAGAAGGGAACCACACGGCCCCAAGGCUGACCUCAGCCGACCACAGGGGCCAGCUCUCAGGAGGGACCGUGGGGACAGCAGGAGCUGGGUUUCCGCUUUCUCACAGGAAGGCUCAGUUGAUCUCCUGGGGACCCACAGGGGCCUUGCUGAGCGGGGGUGACUCAGCUUCCUCUGUGCCCCGGCAGAGCAGGAGGACCCUGGCAACCCGGGGCUCCUUUCGCCUGUGCGCCCCCCUCUGCUUCCUGCUCUAGAAAACCUCCCGUAAUUAUCCAAGUCUCUGUUGACCAGAAGGUUUUUUGAAAAAACCAGUUUGUGUUUCACAUUUCAGCAGCAUUUGUCACCUUACAACAAUCGUUUUCUCAGACAUUGGUUCAUCCAGUGUUCACAGCAGUCCUGAGACUUUAGGGAAGCCAUUGUCCUCACUGCUACAUCUAUAAGGAAGGUGAGACUCAGCCAGAGAAGGGGAUUGGCUGAGGCCAUGUGGCUUAUGGGCGGAGAGUUCAUGCUUGAGCCCAGGAGUCUAGAAUACUCAUUGAGGACCUUAUUUCACUUUCUUGGGUGGCACUCAGCUUAUAGCCCUUAUCAUGUGCUCAUUAUGUGUACAAUGGUUGUUGAUUGAAUGGUUGAUUGUAAUUUUCAUCCAUGGUGAGAUGGAUCCUUUGGGCUCUAAGCAAGUUACCAUGGGGGUAGUGGGAAGGACAUGGGCCUUGGAGAGACAGUUCAGGUUCAAGUUACACAAGACUCACGUUAGCUACGUGCUUUUAGGUAAGGUACAAAUUCUUUAAGCUGCAGUUUCCUCUGCACACAGAGGAUAAUGGUAGUUUUUCAGGGCAGCUCUAAGAUUGAAAUGAGAUAAAAUGGAUCAAGGGAUGGCACAGUGUUUGCUGUAUAGAAGGUGUGUAGCAAUGCACUUUUCCAUUGCUUAGCUUCAGAAACUCAUGAGAGUUAAACAAAUCCUGCAGAUAUUUUCAUUACAUACAGAACAAUGCCUUUGCUUAGUAAUCUUUGAGAAAUUAAGGACACACAUGUACAAAGCAAAUGAAGUCUGGUCCUGGUUCAUUAAGUCACUAUAAUUGAGAAAUGAGGUAUCCCUUAUAUGUGAAUUUCCCAGCUCGUACCCCCAGUUCUGGGUUCCAAGAUUUGUCACCCUUUCUUUUGACUUAUUUUAGGAGGAUAACAUGUCUAGCCUUGUGAAUCCUUUGCACUAACCAUUCUCUGUUUCGUGUUUCUUGCUUCUCACUGGAUGAUUUGACUUUCAUUGCCCUUUGCUCUUAUUAACUGCAAAGAGUCACAGAGACACUUGUCAUGGUGAGGAAGUGGCAUGGGGUCUGAGAUUUUAGACUUGGAAAUAAUGCUUCUAUUUCAAGAAAAUGCGUAAGCAAUCAUGAUGCAAUUUCUUUAAAAAAUGCCCUUGAUUUCAGAGUUCCCAUCAUGGCUCAGGGGAAACGAAUCUGACUAGCAUCCAUGAGGAUGCAGGUUUGAUCCCUGGACUCACUCGGUGGGUUAAGGAUCCGCCAGUGUUGUGAGCUGUGGUGUAGGUUGCAGAUGUGGCUCGGAUCCCACAUUGCUGUGGCUGUGGUGUAGGCCAGCGACCACAGCUCCUAUUAGACUCCUAGCCUGGGAACCUCCAUAUGCCAAGGGUGCAGCCCUAAAAGACCCCCCCCCCGAAAAAAAUGCCGUUGAUUUCACCAAUUGGAUGUUUUCCAUGAUUUAAUUUUUCUUUGAAGUUGAGUACGUGUCCAGGUGAGGUUGAACCUAUUGGUGUUGACGCAUUAGAUUUCGCAUUCUUAUAGCCAGGAAUGAUGUUUCAGUCAUCACCAUGGAUCCAGGGCCAGGAGCAUCCUAGAUUCUCAAUGGAUGCUUCCUGAAUGAGCAAGUGUCAGGCGUUCAUUCAUUUAUUCUACAGAAAGAGGCUGUGGACCGUCCCAAGUUAUUUUCCAGGUGGGCAGGACCAUCUGCCGCUUUUAGGAGCUCACGGCAGGCAUGUUAUUCAAGGAGACCAGCCUGAGAGGAGAGUGUGACUCCCCACAGAGGAGAGACUGGGUCAGGGCAUGAGAUCAGGCAGAGAAGGGGGCAAGCAGAGGGCACCGUGGUCCAAGGCAGAGUGCUCAAGGGGUGGCUGCGAUGAAUCAAGCCUCCUCUCUGGGUGUUGGUUGUGUGAUAUCAGAGAGGGACCCACUGUCUCGAACAGCCCCACCAAUUGCUAGCAUGGAGAGCCUGGCAAGGAGGGCGGCCUCUGGCCAAUCAAGACAAGUCUCACAGGACAAAUACAUCCCACGUCACACCUAGGCUGGGGGCCGGUGUGAUGAGCGUCUGCAGAGAACUAGGGAUUUUGUGAUCUUUUCUGCUAAUGGGGACUUUCAACGUGAAGCAGCCUCUGCUGGACGGAGCACGAAGGCCGUAAUCACUUCUGGGGAGAGGCUGACUUUGUGGUUUAGUGACCCUUUCCAGGGCCUCCUUCACUAUUCUUUCUUGAUAAAGAGGAUUGUAAUAAUGCAAAAUAAUUGGAGUUUUUCUUUUCAGAGUUACACUGUGGAGAGGAAGUGGGAGAGUAUGUUUGAAGGCAUAGCCAUGAUCUAUAGAGUUGUUUUCUUUUUGUUUCUUUAGGACAUUUUACUGAGCACCUGUCCUGUGCUGGUCUUGAGUUGGGCGUGGCAUGCAAAGAUGGGCAAAGAUCUGCCCCUUCACUUUAAGGAUCUCCCAGUAGUGGAAGAAAGUGAUUCAUAAGGAAUGACAAUGCAUCCUGAUGAGUACUGAGGGGAGACAGAUGAAAGAGGGCAGAGGAAGGAGUGAUUAAUUACGCUGUUAGCAGUCAGGGAAGCCUCACAAAAGAUGUGAGGGGUUUUUAGGGAUGAAUAGGAGUUUUUGGGUGGAGAAGAAGAAAGUAGCAUCUCAGCUAGUAAAAAUGGCAUGAAUAAUUACACAAGGACAACACAUUCACAGUUUGGGAAAUAAUGAUUGGAGAAGUAUAGCUGGGGCUGUGUUGUCUGAUCAAACACAGGCAGCGCAGUUAGAUGUGUAUUUCAGAUAGACAAUGAAUAUGUUUUAGCAAGAGCAUGUCCCAAAUACUGCACGAGUUAUGCUUAUACUGAGAACAUUAUUUAUUCUUUAUCCUAGGUUCAGUUUUCAUUGGGCAUCCUCUACUUUUGUUUGCUAAAUCUGGUGACCCUAGGCUGGAGUACUGUAGCAGAUGAGACUGUAUUACAGAGGCCUUUGAAAGUCAUUCUCAAACGUUUUGACUUCAGUCUCAUGGGGUGGUCUUGGAAGGUUUUUAAACUGAGAUGUGAUAUCAUCAGAUUUUCUGUAUUACUCAUGCUUCAUGGAGGAUGAGCUAGAAAGGGAGGAACUGGAAGCAAGGACUUUGAUCUAAAUAGAGAGAAAAGGGGGUUUUGAACCAGGGUAGAAAUCAAGAGAUCCUCGGGCAACAAGCUCCAGAGAUGUUUUGCACAUGGAAGCCACAGGCUUUGCUGAGAAAGGCUGAGUGUUUGUGCUGGCAACCCUUUCUUGUUGCAAGCUCGGUAUGUUUGUCCUUAAAAGCUUAUGACCUUCCAAACUUUCACUCCCAAUAGUCUUGGGAUGAGAGCCCCUCUGGAGACUGGAAUUCUGUGCCAUUAAGCACAUGGCUCAGCGCUUAAUUUCUUUAAAAUAUAUACUCAGGCUAAAUGCUGAGCCAGAUAAUCCCAACCUGAUUAAGUGGCCAAGUCCACGCUCGGUACAGGUGGAAACAUUUAGUGCCAUAGCUUUAGAAGGGUCCAUGAAAAAGAAUGUCUUCCAUAUUUUAUUAGGAGAGAUUUAUUUUUCAAAAGAUGUAUUUUGGAAAGGGAAGGACAGUGUUUAUUUCUGAGAUUAAAUAUACCUCCAAGGUUAUAGAAGAUAUUUGCAUUUUGUAGACUUGUGACUGAGAACUCAUAGAAUCGUGUUCGAAGUCACUUUGUUACUUUCCUCCUGUUAAAGCUGGAGAAGCUGCAACCCAGAAGAGACGUGACCAGCUUGGGUGGCAGAACUUGGAUGUGGGUAGAGGAUUUGUGACAUCCAGUUAAAAUGCAAUAGGAAUUCUCUGAACAUUUAGCAUUUGGAAAUAGCACAAUUCUUUUUCCCUGUAACUCCCAAAUUACAAAGAAUUUCUCCUUGAGAUUUUUCAAUUUGAACGAGAGUAUUAACAUGAGUUUUUUAAAAGAGAGUUUCAUGAAAUUGUGUCAUUGAGAAUAACCACAUCUUAUUCCUAUUGACAGCCCCUUUGAAAGAGAUUGACCCAGCCUGAUUCCUGAAGAUUGUCAAAGUUUUUGAAACUUGGAAAAAGGAGAGUUUAUAUAAGUAGGAAAUAAUUGUUAUUUGUUGAAUGCAUUCUCAGCUGCAGGAUUCUGACAUUUUGGCAAAGGCAGGCUUUCCUUUCGAUAGAGCAACUUUCAGAGCCAAAGUUGUGUUUAAAAAGAAUAAAGCAAAAAGUACUAUAGUUACAUUUCCAAGAUGAAAUGUCUUUCCUUCUUAGAACUCGGAGGAGUGCUGUCUGCCUCUGCUUCAUUAAUUCCGGAGAGACCUUCUCUGCUAGAAUGUUCCAAGGUAACUCCUCAUUCAGGUUUGAGGGAUUUGCUCCCUAUAAAAAGACUUACCAAAAUCCUCCCUCCUUUUCCUCAGCAGUGAGAUACUGCGAUCAAACUGGCCUAGAGCUUGAAUUAGCCACUCCAAAUUCAAUCCUAAUAGAUACCUAGAAAAUUUGCUUUUCUUUCUUUCCUUUUUCUUCUUUUUUCUUUUUCUUUUUCUUUUUUUAAAACAGCAGGACCUGUGGUAUAUAGAAGUCCCCGGGCUAAGGGGCAAAUCAGAUCUUCAGCUGCUGGCCUACACCACAGCCACAGCAAUGCCAGAUCCUUAACCCACUCAGGGAGGCCAGGGAUUGAACCCACAUCCUCAAAGACACUAUGUUGGGUUCUUAACUCCCUGAAUCACAAUGGGAACUCCUGAUUUAUUUUGUUUCUAAUAUCUCAGUCCCUGGAAAUCUUCUCUUAUGAGGGGCACCUUCCAGCCCCUUCUGAGGCAGGGAGGGUUGGGAGAAGCAAAGGGGCCCCGGGGGCAUGUCCUGUACUGGCGUCGCUUCCCAACCAUAGACCUUUUCCUGGCACUGCCCUUCGCCUUCCUGGGGAUUUGGCACAUCCUCUCUUCCCUGUUAAUAUUGACAAAAAGUAUUACAAACCUCUAAGUGCUAAUCGCCAGAUGAGGCAUGUAGACAGUUAGGGCUCUCGAAUAUCCCUUAGGGACGGCCUACAGUAUAAGCUCGAAAUAAGCUGGUUCACCAUCUCCCAGGCCUCUGCCCACCUCGCCGCCCACACCUGCCCUCCCAGGUCCCCUUCCUGUCCCUCAUCUACUUAUUUAGCAGCGUGUCUUGAGGCUCUUCCAUGUGCCAGGCCCGGGGCAUGGCAAUGAACCAGACCAGGAGCUCUGGCCAAAUAUUUCUUCCACUGGGUUUACUCACCCCAAGAGCCCCCGUUCUUGUUACAGUGUGAAUUCUAUGAGGAUUUAACAAUUUUCCCUUUUCAUUUGAUAGCCAUCUGAAAAAUUAACAUAAAAGCCACAUCCUUAACCCCCCGAGUGAGGCCAGGGCUCGAACCCUCACCCUCACAGUGACAACCUCAGGCACUUAUCCCACUGAGCCACAACAGGAACUCCACCUUAAAGCCAUUCUACUGCAGGAUCUUGAUGUCUGGGUUUACACUUGUAUCACUGAGCACGUUAGAGCCAGGGAUGCUUCAGCUGUUGGUCAACUUUUGGAGCACUGUCCCUCAGGCUGGGGGUCCGGGGACAUAUCCUUGAGCUCUGAUGGUGUCCUUUUCCUCUAAACGGGUUUCGCAUAUUUCUCAGGUUUAACAAGCACUGGUCUAGUAGCAGCACCAGAACGGUUGCCUGUAGCCAUGAGGCUCUUCCCCAACUUGGGUCACGCAGGUCUCACGGGAGGCAGGAGAAACGGUGCCCUGAAGAGGUCCUGCCCCAAUGCCUGUGAAUGUGCUACGUUACACGUAGAGAGAGCUGGUCUUUUGGGGAGAUCCUCCUGCGUUACCUGGUGUGCCCGAUGUGAUCCAGUGGAUCCUUCAAAGUAGAAGAGGUAUAUACACCCCAGAGAGUUAAAAACAGGUACUCCCACAACUACGGGUCCAUGUGUGGUCACACCUGCCCUGGUCACAAUCGUCAAAAGGUAGUCAUAGCCAGUGUCCGGGAACAGAUGCCUGGAUGAACAAAAUGCAGUGUAUAUAUGCAGUGAAAUAUUAUCCAGACAUAGAAAGGCAUGAAGUACUUAUACUUAGUACCACACCAAGGAACCUCUAAAACAUUAUCCUAGAUGAAGGAAGCCAGACGCCGAGGUCACACGUUGUAUGGUUUCAUGCAUAUGAAAUAUCCAGCACAGGUGCAUCCAGUGAGACAGAAAGCAGGUUGGUGUUGCCACGGGCUUGGGGGCAAGGGGAAUGGGGAAUAACCGCUCAAUGGGUGAAGGUCCUACUUGGGAGUUGUUCU
rnacentral:lncRNA from 1 species